CCCGGGGCUGGAUGGCGCCGGGCGGCUCUUUGUUCCUGCCGAGUGCGUGUGCGCGGCGCUCGGGCUGCCGGGGUGGGAGGGGAUCCCGCCGUUAACGGGAGGCGCAGCAGCGGCCGAGCGGGGCCGGCCGGGCGGCACAGCACAGCACAGCGGCGCAGGGCCGGACCCCGGCGCUCCCGCCUCCCCCGGGGGCCGGGCGCUGCCCUCCGGCGGCGCGGCGGAGCAGGUGCCGGCGGCGGCAGCGGGCCGGCAGGAUGGAGGCUGCCUUGCUGAAGCCGGCGAUGAUGGCGGAGGUGAAGGGGAGCGGCGCCGGCUCUGCCGUCAGCGCCGAGCUGGAGGUGAAGAAGCUGCAGGAGCUGGUGCGGAAGCUGGAGAAGCAGAACGAGCAGCUCCGGAGCCGCGCCGCCGCCGCCGCGGUGGCCACCGGCCCGCCCAGCCCGCACCUGCUGCUGGCCCCGCCGGCGGCCCCGGGCGGGCUGCGCCCCGCCAGCCCCCCCGCCGCCGGCCCGCCGUGCAUGCCCAGCCCGGUGCCCACCCUGCUGUGCCCGCCGGAGCCCCUCGCCUACUUCAAGCCCUCGCCCGGGCCGCCGGCCGCUGGCGGCGGGCAGGAAGGCGGCGGCGGUACGGGGGCGGCGGCCACGGUGCUGGACGAGGUGGCGGUGCUGGAGCUGGAGGACGGCUGCGGAGAGGACGAGGAUACAUGGUUGUACGUCUUGCCUACCAAGACUCACACUCCUCAAGAGAAAUCACUGAGUCCUCUGCAGUGGUGCAGACGUGUUCUGGAUCAUCCAACUCCUGAGAUAGAAGCUGCAAAACGUUCCCUAUGCUUUAGAUUGGAGCAAGCUAGCCGAUGGCGGAACCUCUUCUCUACACCUGUCUCCUUGGCUUUUCCCUAUAGUCCUGUUGCAAGACUCACCCCAUAUACCAAUGGCUGUAACAGUCCCAGCUUCUCUAAAACUUCCAGUAAAGCAAUACUAACACCUGAACGGACAGGAUACCUUUCUAGGAGUUCCCCUUUGAGUCCACAGUCAUCGAUAGACAGUGAACUGAGCACUUCGGAGCUGGAAGAUGAUUCCAUCUCCAUGGGAUACAAGCUGCAGGACCUCACUGAUGUUCAGAUCAUGGCUCGUCUACAGGAGGAGAGCCUUAGGCAAGAUUAUGCUUCAACUUCAGCAUCUGUGUCAAGGCAUACUUCCAGUGUUUCUCUGCAUACGGGAAAAAAAGGGACAUGCAGUGACCAGGAAUAUGAUCGCUAUAGUCUUGAGGAUGAGGAAGAGUUUGACCACCUUCCACCUCCGCAGCCACGUCUGACUCGCUGCUCCCCCUUCCAAAGAGGGAUUCCUCACUCACAGACUUUCUCCAGUAUCCGGGACUGCAGGAGGAGCCCUACUUCCCCGCAAUUCCCUACAAAUACUUAUCAGCAACCCUUCUACUCUUCUCAAGCCCAAACUCCAGAGCAGCAACCAAAUAGGAUUAAUGGAGACAAGCUCCGCAGAAGCAUGCCUAACCUUGCUCGGAUGCCAAGCACCCCUGCCAUCAGCAGUAAUGCUGGCUUUGCUGGUUCUCCUGUCACUGUGAGGAAUAGUCAGAGCUUUGACUCCAAUUUACAUGGAGCCAGUAAUGGGAUUUCAAGGAUGCAGUCGUGUAUUCCAUCACCAGGACAGCUUCAACACCGAGUUCACAGUGUGGGACAUUUUCCAGUGUCUGUCAGACAGCCUCUCAAAGCUACUGCCUAUGUAAGCCCAACUGUACAAGGGAGUAGUAACAGUAGCAGUAUUCCAGUGUCCAGCAACUCGCAGCUGUAUUCCAACACUGGGAUCCCAAUGCCAAACAAGACUGCUGGUCAAGGCAUCAUAGGGCGCAGUGCUCUUCCAAGACCAUCGCUGGCCGUCAAUGGGAGUGGCAUUCCCAGAAGUAAAAUUGCACAGCCAGUUCGAAGUUUCCUUCAGCCUCCAAAGCCACUGUCAUCACUGAGCACGAUACGAGAUGGGAACUGGAGAGAUGGCUGCUAUUGAUGAAGGAUGCCCUGUGACAGUGGAAAACACAUAAUGUGGAUUUCAUUACCCAGCUGGCUGGCAUGCAAGUAUGACUUGCAAUGGGAAACAGAGAUUGUGUACCUUUCACUGUGGCUAUGAAUUUGCUCUCAGUUUGACUCCACAGUUGCUUGAGGACCUGCUUUUCUGAAAAGGGCAAGCUAAAAUAAAAAGCAGAGGGGAGAUACUUAGUGAACUGUUGAAGAAGGUAUCAAGAAUAAUAAAAAAAAAAGAAAUUAACCUGGCACAGGUGCCAGCUACUAAUCCUGCUGUCAAGACUGAGGAGAAGAAGGAGGAAAACUGAGACAAUUGCAGUUCAACUGCAUUCAUUAUUAUAUUACAUUAUAUUGGGGUGGCUCACAAAUGUAAUACUGAACCAGAGCAUCUGCUUCAGUACACGUGGUGUUCUGAUAGGCAGUCAGUGUUGGUGCAGAAUUGGACCCGUUCAGCUGCUGUGCACAUGGCGUUGGUCAGGAAGUAAAACUGGAUCAAGUCAAGAACAGGUUCCUGCCUUGAAGAGUUUAAAAGGCUGAAAAGCAAGGAAAAAAAGUAAUAUAAUACUAAACAAAACAAACCAUGUGUACUUUUAUAGAGCAAAUCAGAUAUGGUUUAGAUUGAUUGUACUUGAAAGGGAAAGGUCUCUGGCAACUUUCUUUGGCAUCCUCUUUUUUGGAUUUGCCACAGGAAUUGGACUUGAACUAUUAGUUCUGAGAUCAAGGACUCUGAGCCAGUGACCACACAAUUGUGGUUAUCCCUGAGCUGAUGUUGACCCCUUAAAGGGGAAAGGAAGAUCAGGAGUGAUAGCAUUUAUGAAAACUAGCAGAGGAAAAAUAACAUGGUUCUGUUAUUUGAUGUUAUAAAAUCUUGUGAUACACUUUUUUUUUCCCUAGUGUGUGAAGUUCUGUCUUCCUGGGCUUUAACCACUCCUAAGCAGUUCCAACCAGGAAGCUUCUGUUCUUAAUUUAAAUUUGCAUCAGCAGAGGCUGAAUGAGCAGAGAUUAAGUCUAAGUCUAGUGAAAACCUGCAAAAGAAUAAUUCUUUGUGGAGGAGUGUAGGGGUGGAUCUGAUUGUGGAGGUGGGUUGCCUACAUGGUACAAAAUGUGAUGUAUACCUUUGGCAUUCCUGUCCUAGCUGGCAAUCCAAAAUACUAAGUAAAGGUAGGAAGCAUCCUAAUUGCUGAGGGAAAGAGAAACACCUCAGAGGAGUGCUCCCAUUAGGGCUAACUAAUAAGAAAUUCUAAUUAAAUCCUUCCUUUUUUCUAAACUGCAGGUGCUUGAAUUAAGUCUUCAGCAGAGAUGCCUCUACUCACUUGGGAUUCACAACCACAAAUCCUCUAAUGAGGGUUGACACCCACAUAUGUUCUUUGAAGAGAUGUUUAUGCUGCUAAUUAAAAAGGGGCCAUGAGCCAACCCCUGGCCUCAAAGCUGAAUGGCACAGACUGGCUCAUGGCUGCGCAGCUGAGGCUUCUUCUGGAACUAAAUUUAUCUUGGAGAGAGUCGCCUGAAGCAGCCUGAAAAGGAACCAGCGUGUGAACUAACAUUUAAAUAUUGUGCAUUAUUUGUGGGCCUGCUGCUUAACCCAAAUUCUGUCUCAUACUUAGCAGUAAAGAUGUGCCUUGUGAGACCCGAACAGAACUACCAGCCUUAAAAGAUCCUCCAGGACAACAGCCCUCUAUGCAGCCAUCAGUCGUUGUAAUGUUUCCUGAAGAAGUGGUAGACCUAUUUUAUAGGUUCCAAAGGAGUGCCACUGCCAUGAAGUCCCCUCAAUCUCUCCUGUUGAACUGGACAGAAAAGACUGCUGGAAACUUCAGGCCAGAGAGAGAGAAUAACUUUGCAUAACUUUGAAUGCUAAUAGUUAAGGGAAAGAAAACACUGUGUUGGUUGGGUUUGGUUUGAUUUGUUGCUUUUCUCCUGCAACUAUUUCUGUAGAUUAAACAGGUCUUAAAUACAGGAAUUACCAUGCAGUUUAAAUGCCUACAGUUCCUUUUAUCGGUUCUAUUUCUAAAAAAAUAAAACCAACAAAAACUUGGAAAAAUCCCCAAAGAGGUUACUGUAAAGCAUUCAUGGCAAAUGUAGGUACAAGAUGUAGAUGCAGGCUGUGUGUAUUAUCGCAGAAAGGAUUGUGUUCAGCAGGAGAAUCUGAAGUGCAUCUGUUGUAAUAUAGCCUUUUUCACUGUUAUUUUCUGGAAGAGGCUGCAGCUGUGUACUCAGCAUUUCAAACCUCUAUGCAGGUGGAAGUGCCUAGCAUCAGCAGACAGAACCUGUGGUUUCUGCCUGUUUGGGUUUUAUUCAUGGCCAUGGCUUACAAGAGUUAUAAUUAUUAUUUCAAAAUGUGACCAGAAGAGGGGAGAUCAUGGAGGGGAAAAUCAGCAGUCUUACAAUCCUAAUAUUAAUUGCCUCAGUGUUUAGUGGCUAUACUUAAAGCCAUAAGCCAAACAAACACACUUUUUAAAAAUUGCUCUGCAGAUGCAAACUGGAACAUAAUACCCAAAGGCAAAUGUAUCCAUCCACAAAUAUUUUGCAAAUACUUUUAUGGAGUACCUCUUUAAAAAGGUUUUGCUCAGUUUUUAGAGGCUUUCAGUGUACAUUUGUUUUGAAAAGUUUCCAGGAAAAAAAAAAAAAGUCUGCAGUUUUUAUGUCCUGGAAGAAAUCAAGGAACAUUUUGCAAUCUAAAAUGGUGCAGAGUCACCACCAAAUCAAGCCUAAUGCAGUCACUCUGUUGCUGAGCACAGGUUUGUCUACUAACAUGAUCCCAGUUCUCUCUUUUGACCAGAGGUCUGUGUCAGCCAAAAUACUAGUUGAAUGUCUCAACAGCUAAAAUCCAAAAGAGAACUGAAAAGCUUUCCUAUUUGUUCUCCAUAGUUCUGACACCACCACAAGCACUGAUAGGACACUGGGAAACAUCUUGUUUCUGAAAAGUAGAAGUUUCACAAAUAGAAGAAAAUGGAAUUAAUGUUGCAACUGAAAAUAGUAUUGUGCAAUAUAAUUCCUCAGUUUCUAGGGGCUCCUAUUUGAAUUAAACAAAUAGAAACUGGAUCCAUAUUUCCCACAAUCCUAGAGCCUCUGGUGUCUGGGGUGUCUUUCAUAAGUGGCUUGGUCUCCUCACUCAUAGGUGGAACUUUACAUAGUGGAGUGAACAUAAAAGCAUGGCUGGGGUGACAAUUACAGAGGUGGUUAUGGAAGAGCAUCUCUGCCCAGUAAGGUCCUCCAAUUCAAUUGUUAUAAUUCAAUAAAAAGUUUAAGCUCA